GGGCCAUUAGCUCAGGUGGUUAGAGUGCACCCCUGAUAAGGGUGAGGUCCCUGGUUCAAGUACAGGAUGGCCCA
rnacentral:tRNA from 1 species